AAAGGUUGAUGCUGGCUCAAGACGAACGCUGGUUCCCCGCCUCAUGCUUGCUCGUCAAACCAAACAUGACGAGCUUGCUCUUCUCAUCUUGUGGACAACGGGCGAAUAUGGCAUGAUGAUUCUGCCACUUGCAUGGGCACAACAGUUGGAUUCCAUUGGUUAUACCGUUUAAGCCCACGGGUCGGCAUCGAUCAGAGGGAAAAGGAUUGAUCCGCUUUGAGAUGGCCUCGCGUCUGAUUAGGUAGUUGGUGAGGUAACGGCCCACCAAGCCGACGAUCGGUAGCCGGCCUGAGAGGUUGACCGGCCACAUUGGGACUGAGACACGGCCCAGACUCCUACGGGAGGCAGCAGUGGGGAAUAUUGCACAAUGGGGGAAACCCUGAUGCAGCGACGCCGCGUGAAGGAAGAAGGUCUUCGGAUUGUAAACUCCUGUCGUCGAGGAAGAUAAUGACGGUACUCAACAAGGAAGCGCCGGCUAAAUACGUGCCAGCAGCCGCGGUAAUACGUAGGUCACAAGCGUUGUCCGGAAUUACUGGGUGUAAAGGGAGCGCAGGCGGGAGAACAAGUUGGAAGUGAAAUCCAUGGGCUCAACCCAUGAACUGCUUUCAAAACUAUUCUUCUUGAGUAUUGCAGAGGUAGGCGGAAUUCCCGGUGUAGCGGUGGAAUGCGUAGAUAUCGGGAGGAACACCAGUGGCGAAGGCGGCUUACUGGGCACCAACUGACGUUGAGGCUCGAAAGUGUGGGUAGCAAACA
rnacentral:rRNA from 1 species